rnacentral:rRNA from 1 species
UUCCGUAGGUGAACCUGCGGAAGGAUCAUUACCGAGUGAGGGCCCUCUGGGUCCAACCUCCCACCCGUGUUUAUUUACCUUGUUGCUUCGGCGAGCCUGCCUUUUGGCUGCCGGGGGACGUCAGUCCCCGGGUCCGUGCUCGCCGGAGACACCUUAGAACUCUGUCUGAAGAUUGUAGUCUGAGAUUAAAUAUAAAUUAUUUAAAACUUUCAACAACGGAUCUCUUGGUUCCGGCAUCGAUGAAGAACGCAGCGAAAUGCGAUACGUAAUGUGAAUUGCAGAAUUCAGUGAAUCAUCGAGUCUUUGAACGCACAUUGCGCCCUCUGGUAUUCCGGAGGGCAUGCCUGUCCGAGCGUCAUUGCUGCCCUCAAGCACGGCUUGUGUGUUGGGCCCCGUCCUCCUUCCGGGGGACGGGUCCGAAAGGCAGCGGCGGCACCGCGUCCGGUCCUCAAGCGUAUGGGGCUUUGUCACUCGCUUUGUAGGCCUGGCCGGCGCUUGCCGAUCAACCAAACUUUUUAUCAGGUUGACCUCGGAUCAGGUAGG